UACGGGGGGGGCAAGCGUUGUUCGGAAUUACUGGGCGUAAAGGGCGCGUAGGCGGUUUGGUAAGUUGGAUGUGAAAACUCUGGGCUCAACCCAGAGCCUGCAUCCAAAACUGGCAGGCUAGAGUUCUGGAGGGGGUAGCGGAAUUCCUGGUGUAGCAGUGAAAUGCGUAGAUAUCAGGAGGAACACCGGUGGCGAAGGCGGCUACCUGGACAGAAACUGACGCUGAGGCGCGAAAGCUAGGGGAGCAAACAGG
rnacentral:rRNA from 1 species